AGCAGCCGCGGUAAUUCCAGCUCCAAUAGCGUAUAUUAAAGUUGUUGCAGUUAAAAAGCUCGUAGUUGAAUUUCGAGAUCAAAUUGUUGGUCGUGCCUCGGUACGUACUGGCAUUAUUGAUUUCUCCUUUCUGAAGAACCUUGAUGUCAUUAAUUUGGUGUCUUGGGGAAUCAGGACCGUUACUUUGAAAAAAUUAGAGUGUUUAAAGCAGGCUCACGCUUGAAUACAUUAGCAUGGAAUAAUGAAAUAGGACGUUUGAUUCUAUUUUGUUGGUUUCUAGGUAUCGACGUAAUGAUUAAUAGGGAUAGUUGGGGGCAUUAGUAUUCAAUUGUCAGAGGUGAAAUUCUUGGAUUUAUUGAAGACUAAC
rnacentral:rRNA from 1 species